rnacentral:rRNA from 1 species
AUUGAACGCUGGCGGCAGGCUUAACACAUGCAAGUCGAGCGGGGUGAUGGUGCUUGCACUAUCACUUAGCGGCGGACGGGUGAGUAAUGCUUAGGAAUCUGCCUAUUAGUGGGGGACAACAUCUCGAAAGGGAUGCUAAUACCGCAUACGUCCUACGGGAGAAAGCAGGGGAUCACUUGUGACCUUGCGCUAAUAGAUGAGCCUAAGUCGGAUUAGCUAGUUGGUGGGGUAAAGGCCUACCAAGGCGACGAUCUGUAGCGGGUCUGAGAGGAUGAGCCGCCACACUGGGACUGAGACACGGCCCAGACUCCUACGGGAGGCAGCAGUGGGGAAUAUUGGACAAUGGGGGGAACCCUGAUCUAGCCAUGCCGCGUGUGUGAAGAAGGCCUUAUGGUUGUAAAGCACUUUAAGCGAGGAGGAGGCUCUUUUGGUUAAUACCCAAGAUGAGUGGACGUUGCUCGCAGAAUAAGCACCGGCUAACUCUGUGCCAGCCGCCGCCGUAA